rnacentral:rRNA from 1 species
CCUACGGGCGGCAGCAGUGAGGAAUAUUGGUCAAUGGUCGGGAGACUGAACCAGCCAAGCCGCGUGAGGGAUGAAGGUACAGAGUAUCGUAAACCUCUUUUGUCAGGGAACAAAGGCGGGGACGCGUCCCCGGAUGAGUGUACCUGAAGAAAAAGCAUCGGCUAACUCCGUGCCAGCAGCCGCGGUAAUACGGGGGAUGCGAGCGUUAUCCGGAUUGAUUGGGGUUAAGGGGUGCGCAGGCGGUCUGUUAAGUCAGCGGUCAAAGCCCGGGGCUCAACCCCGGCCCGCCGUUGAAACUGGCAGUCUCGAGUUGGAGAGAAGUAUGCGGAAUGCGCGGUGUAGCGGUGAAAUGCAUAGAUAUCGCGCAGAACUCCGGUUGCGAAGGCAGCAUGCCGGCUCCACACUGACGCUGAGGCACGAAAGCGUGGGUAUCGAACAGGAUUAGAUACCCCAGUAGUC